UACGUAGGGUGCGAGCGUUGUCCGGAAUUAUUGGGCGUAAAGGGCUCGUAGGCGGUUUGUCACGUCAGGAGUGAAAACUCGGGGCUCAACCCCGAGCCUGCUUCUGAUACGGGCAGACUGGAGGUAUGCAGGGGGAGAACGGAAUUCCUGGUGUAGCGGUGAAAUGCGCAGAUAUCAGGAGGAACACCGGUGGCGAAGGCGGUUCUCUGGGCAUUACCUGACGCUGAGGAGCGAAAGUGUGGGGAGCGAACAGG
rnacentral:rRNA from 1 species